GCUGAAUUCUGGCUGACCAGGGCAGUCACCAGAGCUCCAGACAAUGUCUGUCUCCUUCCUCAUCUUCCUGCCCGUGCUGGGCCUCCCAUGGGGUGUCCUGUCACAGGUACAGCUGCAGCAGUCAGGUCCAGGACUGGUGAAGCCCUCGCAGACCCUCUCACUCACCUGUGCCAUCUCCAGGGACAGUGUCUCUAGCAACAGUGCUGCUUGGAACUGGAUCAGGCAGUCCCCAUCGAGAGGCCUUGAGUGGCUGGGAAGGACAUACUACAGGUCCAAGUGGUAUAAUGAUUAUGCAGCAUCUGUGCAAAGUCGAAUAACCAUCAACCCAGACACAUCCAAGAACCAGUUCUCCCUGCAGCUGAACUCUGUGACUCCCGAGGACACGGCUGUGUAUUACUGUGC
rnacentral:lncRNA from 1 species